rnacentral:rRNA from 1 species
UACGUAGGGUGCAAGCGUUGUCCGGAAUUAUUGGGCGUAAAGAGCUCGUAGGCGGUUUGUCGCGUCUGCUGUGAAAAUCCGGGGCUCAACCCCGGACUUGCAGUGGGUACGGGCAGACUAGAGUGUGGUAGGGGAGACUGGAAUUCCUGGUGUAGCGGUGAAAUGCGCAGAUAUCAGGAGGAACACCGGUGGCGAAGGCGAGUCUCUGGACAGCAACUGACGCUGAGGCACGAAGGCCAGGGGAGCAAACGGG